GGGGAAUGACAGCCCAACCAGUGCAAAGGAAUCGACUUGUUCCUAGUAGCUGCUGGCACUAGUCCUGAACACCUCUGCAACUAACUAGCUGGGACGGGGUUGGCACCGAAAUUCUGGGGGCUCCGGCAAUAACCAACCUAGUCCUUGCGUUCUUCAGCACAAGAAGAACAGAACAACAAACUAACACAGGAGCUUCACAGAAAGCGGUGGUCACAGUGCAGCUUCUGGAAGAAGGGUUCCUCAGAUGACUCGGGCAAAACAGCCAGGAGAGCAGUGGGGAGGAAGAAUAACGUUAACUUGUCAUCGGGUUUUGGAGUUAAUUGUUCUGAAAAGCAGGGACUACGUAACUGACUAAGAAGCACAAGAAAAGCGAGCUGAUGGAAUUGCUUCUCUUCAGAUGGGGACAGCCUGCUCCUGCGCCUUGAAGAUUUCCUUCUUGAAGAACAUCCAACCUUCCUGGACUCGUUUGCCCUUCAGGACUGCCUCCCAUGGGACUCUGUCAACAAGGCCCCUAAACAGGCCAAAGUCUGCUCUCCAGAAGUCCAAGGUGGCAGUUCUGAUGUCCCCCUUCCUUACUUCUCCAGGAAUCAAAACCACUAUCAUUUCAUGGUCUCUGUGUCCAAGACGACCUCCAACCAUCACAUCACCCCCAAGUCCUUCUCUGGUCACAGACAACAGGUCCAGCGGGGCACCUUCCCUAGCUGGCUCCCUCACCAGCUGUGUCAGGAGGUUAUCUAUCUUCCACAUGCUCCAGGAACCUCCUAGACUGCUUCCUCUGCACUGUAUUGUAUUUCCAGCAAACAUCUGGACAAGUUUGUUAUUGCUGUCUCAAAAGAAGCUGCCACAGUUACAUCUUUGGACUAGGCAAUAUGAGAUGGAGGAGCAAGUGUUACAGGAGAGAUACACUUGUGAUGUACAAGGAUGUAUUAUAUAUGUUUAUUGCUAAGGUGUACUUAUGGUAGCUAAACAGCAAAAAAACCAAAACCAUUUGUAUGUUCAAAGGGUAUCUUUCAGUAUUUCUUGUGAUUACAAGGAAUAGUUUUGCAUCUGAAAAUUAAAACAUUGCAAAUUAUCAGAAA